UGUUUCACUGAAAAUCUGAGUUACCGGGUUCGCCCCUGGGACGCCCUGGUACGCGUUCGGGUUCGAUCGGGUCCGUGGCAUGGGUCUAGUUCGACUUGGGUUCAACCAGGGUUCGAAAAAUCCAAACAGUCGAACCCGGGGUCGAACCCAGUCGAACCUGGGCGGACCCAGUUGAACCCGGGUGGCUGGGUGGCCCAUAAAGUUAAAAAACAAAGCAAGUUUAUUUAUUUUUCAAUUCCGCCUUGUAAAAAGUGAAAAUUAUAACCUAAAAAACACUUCUAAAACAUUUUAUUGACACAUUUCACUUCAUUUGUGUUGCAAACAAAAUUUUUAUGAGAGCAGGUUGAAGAAAGGUUGAACAAAAUUUGGCUUCCAAGAUCAAAGAGGAGGAGUUGAAGAUUGAUUUUAGAAGCUUCAACAAGUGUUGCAGCAUCAUUUCCAUACAUUUUCAAGCUUCCAUUGGCUGCAAGAGGUAGGUUUUUAAACAUUUUUUUUCAACUAUUUUUGUUUCACAAAUUGUCAAACAUGAAACUUGAAUUUUUUUUCAUUAUUUAGUUUUUGUUUUUGAAUAUGUUUAUUUUAUUUCUUGCCAUAGGAACUAGAAUGGCAUCUACAUCUUUCUCCAUUGGCAAUGAACAAAUAAUUGCAAAACAAAGAAAUGAUCCAAAUUCUCCCUUAUGGAAAUAUGUGGACAUUAUAAAACAACUUCCGGGAGGUGGGGGAUUCCGUUGGAAAUGCCAUGGAUAUGAUAUUGAAUGUAAUAGUUCAUUUUAUCGGGUGGUAGGCCAUUUGUGUGGAAUAAAAGGAAGAGGCAUCAAAAAAUGCCCUGGAAAAAAUGGUAAACCUAUACCAGAUGAGAUAGUGAUGAAAUAUAUUAGGGAGCAUGAGGCGGCAGAAGAGAGGGAAGCUCGCAGAUUGAACCAAACCGCAUCAAAGAAAACAAGGGGAAUGCAAGGCCCUUCUAAUCCCAGUAUUGUAGUAGAAGACCACCCCUUCUUUGCCACAAAUGAACCUGAAAGUGAACCACCCUUGACACGUAAAAGAACAAAGGGGCCUUUAGAAACCGCAUUCCAAAAUGAGAGUAGAUACAAUGCUGAUCAAGAUAUAGUAAGGUGCAUUUAUGCAAAUGGGUUGUCAUUCAAUGUUGUUCGCUCCCCAUAUUGGAAGCAAAUGAUAAAAAGUGUUAAUGAGGCACCAAGAGGGUAUAAGGGCCCCGGUUAUGAGAAGGUACGUGGAAAAUUAUUGGAGAAAGAGGUGAAGAGGAUUGAAGACGCAUUGAAACCCAUAAGGGAUUCAUGGGUUGAGACAGGUGUAACAAUUGUUAUAGAUGGGUGGAAAAAUGCUAAAAACCGUCCCUUGAUCAAUGUCAUAGUGGUGUCCCCUAAAGGGGCAAUGUUUUUGAGAGCUAUGGAUUGUGAGGGCCAAAUAAAAGAUGGCCAAUUUAUUGCAAAAAUUCUCAUCUUGGCCAUUGAGUCUGUGGGACCCCGCAAUGUUGUUCAAGUCAUAACGGACAAUGCAAAAAAUUGUAGAGGUGCUGGUUUGUUGGUUGAGCAACGUUAUGAUCACAUCUUUUGGACACCUUGUGUGGUACAUUCACUCAAUCUUAUGCUACAAAGGAUUGGGCAAAAAAUAAAAUGGAUCAGAGAUGUGUAUGCAGAGGCUGAGGACAUUCAGAUGUUCAUCACAAACCACCACAUGUCUCAAGGGAUUUUUAGAACCUAUUCGAAUUUGGAGCUAUUGAAGGUAAGUGAAAUAGUAAUUUAAUUUUACAUUUUCUGAUUUUUUUGAAUUUUCAAUGUUAAUAAUAUCAUUGUGUAAGCUAUAUUGUGUAUUCUUCUUUAAAGUUUGGCUUUAUUUUUUAAUCAUUUGGCAUUAAUUUGUGUUAUAGGUUGCUGAGACCUUUUUUGCAUCAAACACAAUCAUCUUAAGAUGACUUGUGAAAGUUAGAGUGGCACUAUGCAAUAUGAUGAUCAACACCAAUUGGAUUGUAUGGAAGCAAAGUAGCACUGAGAGGGCAGAAAAAAUUAGGGAUAGAAUAUUGAAUGAGAAAUGGUGGGAUCUUGUUACGUAUCUCCUAAGUAUCACUGAGCCCAUCAUGAGCAUGAUUCGCUAUACAGAGAUGGAUAGGCCUUGCAUAGGUGAGAUUUAUGAUGGCAUUGAUUCAAUGCUUGAAAAAAUAAAGGUCACUAUAAAUGAAAAAGAGAAUGAUCCUCAGGAGAAAUUCUUCAAAGAACGGGAAGUAAUUAUUGUAGAGAGGUGGAAUAAGAUGACCACUCCUUUGCACCUUUUUGCCUAUGCCUUGACACCUAAGUACUAUAGCAAUCAGUUUCUUGAUAAACCAGGAAGGAUUCCACCAUGGAGAGAUCUAGAAGUAUCUGAUGGGUAUAAGGCAACAUUUCUUAGACUAUAUCCGGAUGAUGAUUUGCGAGAUGUUGUUACAAAUGAGUUCAUAGAAUUUGCAAAUGGGAAUGGUCUAAGUGUUGAUGCACUUCGUCAUAGAUCCAAGAAAGAUGCUCAUAGCUGGUGGUACUUCCAUGGCACAUGCUUCCAACACCUACAACCCCUCACUAUAAAAGUUUUAUCACAAGUUGCUAGUUCAUCUACUUCAGAAAGAAAUUGGAGCACAUACUCUUUCAUCCACUCAGUAAACCGCAAUAGGCUACUAUCAAAAAGAGCGGAGAAUUUAGUAUAUGUGCAUUCCAACCUACGUCUUCUUUCACACAAACAACAUGACUACACACAAGGGGAAACAAAGAUGUGGGAUAUAGAGCCAGAGCAUACUGAUUUGGAUGCUCCUGCUUCUCAGCUUCUUGCAUUGACACUUGAUGACUCGGAAAUUGAGCCAACUUAUAGUGCAAGUGCAAGUGGCAUUGGCUCAUGUAAUGUCAAUGUCAAUGAGGAGGUGGAGGAGGAGGAGGAUGAAGAAUUAGAUGAUCCAUUUGAUGAUUAAACUUUAAGUUUAUAUUGUUGAAAGUUGAAACGAUGAUACUUGAAUAUUUUGUCAUUUUGAUAUUAAACUUGAUGUAUAUGAUGCUAUUAUCAAUUAUGGUAUGAUCAUGAUGCUAUGAUUACAAGUUUAUGUUUGUUUUGUUGUUUAUAUGAUGCUAUGUGACAUGCAUAUUUUAAUUCAUGCU